rnacentral:rRNA from 1 species
UACGUAGGCAGCAAGCGUUGUUCGGAGUUACUGGGCGUAAAGAGUGCGUAGGUGGUGCCCUAAGUCUGUUGUGAAAUCUCCCGGCUUAACUGGGAGGGUGCGGUGGAAACUGGGGUGCUUGAGUGUGGGAGAGGUAAGCGGAAUUCCUGGUGUAGCGGUGAAAUGCGUAGAUAUCAGGAGGAACACCGGUGGCGAAGGCGGCAUCCUGGACCAACACUGACGCUGAGUGAGCGAAAGCCAGGGGAGCAAACGGG